rnacentral:rRNA from 1 species
AAAGCUCCUUCUUGAUCAUGAGAAGGGGCUGAGGGACAAGCAACAUCACAACGCCCUAUACCAUGCUCUCGAGAAUGGGCACUUAGGGGUUGCCGAGAUGAUCAUCCCCUACGAGGACCCAACCGAUGGGAACGGCGUCACGGCACUUAUGAGAGCCGCAGCCAGAGGAGACACUGAAAUGGUAAGGCUGCUUAUACCAGUCCAGAAAGGAAUGAAAGACAAGGACGGUAACACAGCCUUCAUGCACGCCCUCAAGAACAAGCACAUAGACACGGGGGUGGUGCUCGGCAAACAUGAAGACUCAUCCUGGACCCCGCUCAUGCACGCUGCUGCGGACGGAGGCAUCGAGGCGGUCAAGAAGCACCUCUCAGACAAGGACAAGAAGAACAACACCGGUGAGACUGCGCUGAUGAUUGCUGCCAGAGCGAGGCACAGGAACAUAGUAGAGCUCCUCGAUCCCACAGAUGAGAAGGGCGUCACUGCCCUCAUGCGAGCUGCCGAUAGAAACGACCCAGCAGCUGUGAAGGCACUUGCUCCCCUUCAGACAGGGCAGAAAACGACGGGGAAUGUCAGGAUAGGCAAGCUGAGUAUGCACGGUGGAACGGCGCUGAUGAGGGCAGUAGCAUAUGGCCACGCGAAGAUAGUGGAAAUACUCCUAGAGGAAGAGGCAGGCAUGCAGGAUAUUUUUGGACGGACAGCCCUCAUGCUUGCAGCAGAGAGCAACAAUUCAGAUUGUGUUAGACUACUAGUAAAGAAGGAGGGCGGGAUGCAGACAAGUUAUGGUUCGACAGCCCUUACGAUAGCAGCACAGCGUGGCCACCUAGAGUGUGUCAAGCUACUAUUAGAGAAGGAGGGCGGGAUGCAGAAUGAGGAUGGCGAAACAGCCCUCAUGAUAGCAGCAGAGGGAAGCCAUGCAGACUGUGUUAAGCUCCUACUAGAAAAGGAAGGAAGUAUGAGAGAUAACAAUGGACAAACAGCUCUUGUGACUGCAGCAGAGAAAGGUCACACAAAGAUAGUGGAAAUACUCCUGGAGAAGGAGGGAGGCCUGAGGGAUAAUGGUGGAUGGACAGCCCUCAUGAGUGCAGCAGCGAAUGGCCACGCAGAGAUAGUGGAGCUUCUCUUAGAGAAAGAGGGGGGCAUGAGAGAUAGGAAUGGUAAGACGGCCCUUAUGAUAGCAGCAGAGAAGGGUCACCCAGAGUGCAUUAAGCUUCUGCUGGAGAAGGAGGGUGGCAUGAAAAAGAAUGAUUUCUUUAGUAAUGGUGGGACAGCCCUCAUGUGUGCAGCACGUAACGGCCGCCCAGAAUGUGUCAGACUAUUAUUAGAUAAGGAGGGAGGAAUGAAAGGUAGUAACGGUGGGACCGCCCUUAUGAUAGCAGCGCAGAACGGCCACUCAGAUUGCGUCGAAAUAUUAUUAGAGAAGGAGGGCGGCAUGCAAGAAGGUGGUUUCUUUAGUAACGGAUGGACCGCCCUCAUGUGGGCAGUCUCCUGCAGCCAGAUAGAGUGCGCGAGACUCCUUGCAGAGAAGGAGAAGAACAUAAACAGGAGGAAACUCUUGGAGAUAGUCAACCGGAGAGGCAGUAACGAGAUGAUGGCCCUCCUCUCAGAAUAGUCAGAGUAAACAGCAUCAUCUCUACUAGCCUCCACGCCUCACAGCCCCGCCACGCAGCAGGACUCCGGGGUCAGCAGCCUCUAGCGCGGGAGCGAACGCGGCUCAGGGAAGUCGGCAAGCCGGCUCCGUAACCUCGGGAAAAGGAGUGGCUCUGACGGCGCGCCGGGUCAGAACUGGAACGGACGCGGGGAUCCCGACUGUUUACUAGAAACACAGCGUCGCGAGGGCCGCACCCGGCGCUGGCGCGACGUGAUUUCUGCCCAGUGCCACGACCGUCACCGUGAAGCGAUCCGCCGAAGCCCUGGUAAACGGCGGGAGUAACUAUGACUCUCUUAAGGUAGCCAAAUGCCUCGUCGGGCAAUUUCCGACGUGCAUGAAUGGACCAACGAGGAUCCCACUGUCCCGAGCCGCGCCUCCGCGAGCCUCCAGCCUCGGGAACGGGCGAGGGCCGGCCAGCGGGGCAAGAAGACCCUUUUGAGCUUGACUCCAGCCCGGGCCUGUGGGGCGGGGCGGCCGGCGCAGCGCACAGGGGAGGCCGCGCCCCUGAGACACCCUGACGGCCGCCGCCGCCCCGCUCACCCGGUCGCGCGGGGACCCGCCCGGGCGGGGAGUUCGGCUGGGGCGGCGCGCCUGCUACACCGGACCGCAGGCGUCCCACGGCGGGCUCAGCGAGGACGGAGACCUCCCGCGGAGCAGAAGGGCACAAGCCCGCCCGACCCGCGCCCCCCGUGCCGGCGCGGGCCGCGAAAGCGGGGCCUACCGAUCCUUCGCCGCCCCGGCCGCGGGCGCGGAGGUGGCAGAAAAGUUACCACAGGGAUAACUGGCUUGUGGCCGCCGAGCGCCCGCAGCGACGCGGCUUUUUGAUCCUUCGAUGUCGGCUCUUCCUACCGUCCGCGCGCACCGGCGCGGAAGCGUCGGAUUGUUCACCCGUUCAAGGGAUCGUGAGCUGGGUUUAGACCGUCGUGAGACAGGUUAGUUUUACCCUACUGGCCCCGGGGCCAGAGCACGGCGGGCCAGUACGAGAGGAACGCCCGCCGCGGGCCGCCAGCCCCGCGGUUGCCCGGCCGGGCAGCGCCGCGCCGCCGCGCCCGGGGGCCCUGCGCUGACCGCCUCUAAGCGCGCACCCCGCCUCGCGCCCCGCCCGGCCGCGCGCCCCAGCCCCGUGCCCCGUCGCCGAGCGGCCCCCGCCCGGGGAGACCACCCGGCGCGGCGCUCCUGU